GUCUUUAAAGCAUUCUUUGAAUUGAGAGGCUGUGUGGUUUCGAUAUAAAUAUAUGUAAAGACAAGCUAAAAUUUUGAAACGCAGUGGCGAGCUAAUGUGUAUAGACAAGCUUGCUUUAGAUUUCAAUUUUGUUUGUCGACUUUGUUUCAAUUUGUUUUUUUUAUUACCAAAGUUUUAAUUCUAAAGCUUUUGUUUUUUUUUGUCAACUUUGGUCACUUUUGAACCGAACUCAAACUGAGGUAAGGAAAGAUCGAAUCCUUAACGUCAGGGUCCGAAGGCAGAGCUCAGUUGCCACUUGGCUACGAACAACCCCGACAUUCUAAAGCUUUUGUUUAUCUGAUAAAGUUUAUUUCAGAAUCUUUCGUUUAUGGGCGAUGAAUCGAUUUUUGUGUCAAUUUGUUGAUCUGUUAAUUAUCAAUCUUUUUUAAUUUGCAGGGCUAAUUAUUUUGACUUUUUAGGGUAUUGUUCUCGGAUAGACAAAGCGCUUGAUUUUAAGGAAGCUGGGAGAGUUGUAGUUCAGUUGAAAAGGGAGGAUGUGACUUUACUCAAUCCUGCCGUUGCUUCAAUUGUCUAGAUUUGUGGUGACCUCUUAUUACGAGAAAGAAAAGCAAAGAAAACAGCAUUACAAAAGACAGGAGGAGAAGGAAAAGUUGAGCUGAAAAGCAGAGAUGGAGAAGAGGAAGGAGCCCGAUGGGUGAUGGAGAGAAGUAAUUAUCCCCAUAACUAAAAACUUGAUCUGCAAAAGAAGUUGUUAAUUUAUUUUGUACAUGUUGAUCUUACGCAUUUGGAACGUGUACAAGUUUUAGCAUUUACAGUUUGACUUAUUGUGUUAAAACAAGAUGUUAACAUAGUUUGUACAUAUCGUUCGUUCCUAUGCAUUUAGAGCUUUAGGUUAUGAUGUGAGUUGUGGCAUUUAUCUGAUUUCUUACACAACACAAUUCUUUUAUACUUUUGAAAUAACUAUUUUGAACAAAGCCAACUUUGCGAAAAUAUUACGAUUA